AGAGGGUGCGAGCGUUGUCCGGAAUCACUGGGCGUAAAGGGCGCGUAGGUGGCCCGAUAAGUAGGGGGUGAAAUCUCGAGGCUCAACUUCGAGGCUGCCUCCUAAACUGUCGGGCUCGAGCAGAGUAGAGGCAGGUGGAAUUCCCGGUGUAGCGGUGGAAUGCGUAGAGAUCGGGAAGAACAUCGGUGGCGAAGGCGGCCUGCUGGGCUCUUGCUGACACUGAGGCGCGACAGCGUGGGGAGCAAACAGGAUUAGAUACCCUGGUAGUCCACGCCGUAAACGAUGGGUACUAGGCGCCGGGGGGAGCGACCCCUUCGGUGCCGUCGCUAACGCAAUAAGUACCCCGCCUGGGGAGUACGGCCGCAAGGCUG
rnacentral:rRNA from 1 species